CCUACGGGAGGCAGCAGUGGGGGAUAUUGCACAAUGGGGGGAACCCUGAUGCAGCGACGCCGCGUGGGUGAAGAAGCGUUUCGGCGCGUAAAGCCCUGUCAGCAGGGAAGAAAAUGACGGUACCUGAAGAAGAAGCCCCGACUAACUACGUGCCAGCAGCCGCGGUAAUACGUAGGGGGCAAGCGUUAUCCGGAUUUACUGGGUGUAAAGGGGGCGCAGACGGCGAUGCAAGCCAGGAGUGAAAUCCCGGGGCUCAACCCCGGGACUGCUCUUGGAACUGUGUGGCUGGAGUGCAGGAGGGGCAAGCGGAAUUCCUAGUGUAGCGGUGAAAUGCGUAGAUAUCAGGAGGAACACCAGUGGCGAAGGCGGCCUGCUGGACUGCAACUGACGUUGAGGCCCGAAAGCGUGGGGAGCAAACAGGAUUAGAUACCCCGGUAGUC
rnacentral:rRNA from 1 species